rnacentral:lncRNA from 1 species
CCCUGGACUGACCGGGCAUGUGGACAUCCUAGCCCUGGACUGACCGUGUACAUAGACAUCCUAAUGCUGAACUGACCGUGUACAUGGACAUCCUAGCCCUGGACUGACUGGGCACGUGAACAUCCUAGCACUGGACUGACCAUGUACGUGGAUGUCCUAGUGCUGAACUGAACAGGCACGUGGACAUCCUAACACUGAACUGACCGGGCAUGUGGACAUCCUAGCGCUGGACUGACUGGGCACGUGGACAUCCUAGCACUGGACUGACUGGGCACCUGAACAUCCUAGCGCUGGACUGACUGGGCACGUGGACAUCCUAGUGCUGGAUUCACUGGGCACAUGGACAUCCUAGUGCUGGACUGACCGGGCACAUGGACAUCCUAGUGCUGGACUGACCGGGCACAUGGACAUCCUAACACUGAACUGACCAGACACGUGGACAUCCUAACACUGAACUGACCGGGCAUGUGGACAUCCUAGCGCUGGACUGACCGGGCACGUGGGCAUCCUAACACUGAACUGACCAGACACGUGGACAUCCUAGCACUGAACUGACUGGACACAUGGACAUCCUAGCUGUGGACUGACCGGACACGUGGACAUCCUAGCACUGAACUGACUGGACACAUGGACAUCCUAGCUGUGGACUGACCGGACACGUAGACAUCCUAGCACUGAACUGACUGGACACAUGGACAUCCUAGCUGUGGACUGACCGGACACGUGGACAUCCUAGCACUGAACUGACUGGACACAUGGACAUCCUAGCUCUGGACUGACCGGACACGUAGACAUCCUAGCACUGAACUGACUGGACACAUGGAUAUCCUAGCUGUGGACUGACCGGACACGUGGACAUCCUAGCACUGAACUGACUGGACACAUGGACAUCCUAGCUGUGGACUGACCGGACACGUGGACAUCCUAGCACUGAACUGACUAGACACAUGGACAUCCUAGCUCUGGACUGACCGGACACGUAGACAUCCUAGCAUUGAACUGACUGGACACAUGGAUAUCCUAGCUCUGGACUGACCGGACACGUAGACAUCCUAGCACUGAACUUGCUGCGCGUGGCCACACUCUCGCUGAAUUUUACCUUUCACACUGAAAGAGCGGGAGGAAGGACAGCCAGGCAGAGCUGGGACAUCUGCGAGGACGUUCGCAGGGUGGGAAGUGUUAUGCAUGACCAAGUUUGAAUGUGUUUAUGAAACAUGGGUGAUGGAAGGUAGACCCUGCAAUUUUUAGGGAUGCUCUAACAAUUCGGUGCUUCUGUGAUGUUUUGGGUGAAAUUGGGUGGGGGUGAAAUAUGAACACCUCUCAACGGUCUGGGCCUGUGUCCUGCCCAGGGCUGGGUUGCAGCAGGUUCCUGGCUCCAU